CCCCGUGUGGCUCAGCUGGUGGAGCAUCGUGCUUACAACGUCAGGGUUGUGGGUUCAAUUCCCACGGGGC
rnacentral:tRNA from 1 species